rnacentral:rRNA from 1 species
CUUUAAUUGGGGGAUGGUAUGAAGGGUUAUAUGAGUAAAAUUAAUGUUUUGAUUAUAAUUUUUGAAUUUAAUAUUUAAGUUAAAAAGCUUUAACAAGAUUUAGGGACAAGAAGACCCUAUAAAGUUUAAUUUUUAAAUUCAAUUUAAUGAGUGUAAAAAUUUGGUUGGGGCAACAUUAUAAGAAAAAAUUUUAUAAUAAUAGUGAUUUUAAUCCAUUUAUUAAUGAAUAAUGAUUAAAUUACUUUAGGGAUAACAGCACAAUUAAAGUUUUAAAGUUCUUAUUUACAACUUUGGUUAUGACCUCGAUGUUG